rnacentral:misc_RNA from 1 species
CGAGGAAAGGUUUGCAGGCACUCUUUCUUGUUACUUUUACCUUUGCGAGGAGACAAGAAGAACAACCGGCAAAGAAUGAAAUUGGAGCAAAGAACCACUUAUUACAAUCUUAUCGACACAGGCGGAUCAGGUCAUUUCCAUUUGUACCAGCAAAGAACCACUUAUUCAAAUGUGCACAUAGAAAUCGAAUGAAAUUGAAGCACAAGUACUGGAGCAAUAACAAGUUGCAAAAGGAGGCAGGGGCGUCGCCAUCAGCAUUGUGCCUUCAGUUAAGCGCGCGUCAGAAUCAUCCAGGUGGUGAAGAACUCGCAAAGCACGGCGUUGUCCAUGAGCUUCGCCGCGUUCUUGGCCUUGCCGAGGCUGCGCCAGGCGUCUUCCACGAGCUGCCGCGCCGCCGACCACCACCCUUUCCCGCGCGGGGACUCGGGGAACUGCCACCGGAGGAAGUCCUCGGCCGCCGCGGCGGAGCUCAGCGCCAGCAGCUCGUUGUGGGCGUGGCAGACGGCCGCCUCCCAGAGGUCCAUCCACCGCUCCCACGGCGCAAAUUUCCUGGUGCUCGCCCAGUCUGCUCAAGUUCCCAGCGCCGGCCGAGAGCUCACGGGCGGCGCACUUCAAUCCGGUCCGAGAGCUCUCUGGUGCGUUUCUGAAGCGAGGAGAAGGAGAGAAGGGACAAGACGGGAAAGCAGCGAGCACUCACGGCGCUGGGACGGCGGCUGUCUCAACGGUCCUAAUCGUCG